GGGCAAGUCCAGACACACACAGCAGCCGCUCGACAAAGGUCGCCAGAUAAAGACACUCGCGCCACCUGGAUACAGCGCUAGGGGUGGUGUCUGUGCAGUAGACAUGCCUCCUGAGAUUUACUCUCACGCUGUUUUUGGAUUCUCUGAACACCUUGACUGGAGCACGCUGGACUUCGUCCAACCAAUCGAUGACAUCAGGGUGUGCAGCGCAUGCAGAGUUGUUGCCAGGAAGACGGCCUUCCUAGCGUGUCGCCAUGUCCUAUGCGAGCCUUGCUAUGAGCAGUGGAAGUCUAGGGGCAGCCCCGUUUGCUUCCUCGAUGGCGACCUGUGUCCAGAAAACGAAGUCCAUUGGAUGGAAUUUCCGGUGGAGAAAAUGCAGAAGAAUCAGGUCAGCUGCUGGAACAGGAAGAAUGGUUGCGAGAUCAUCACUGAUGUCUCAAGCAUAGCUGGAGCACUUCCACAGAGACUGCGCCUACCACUCCACGUGCUGUCAUAAGUGUACCUCGACUGGUGCUCAGGAAAGACAUAAUAGCACACCUUGAAUCACAAUGUGUGGACUACGUCUUGAGGAUAAGCUUAGUGACGUCACCGAGCGAGGGGCUGUCGAAGGAGCUAAACGACAUUCGGGAAGGUGUCCGUGGCAUGGAAAUGGCAUUUCGAAGCGCCUCCGACAACGAUGUCUUGGCGGUGACAAGUUUUCGAGAAAUUACAGAAACUGGCGUGGAAAAUGUCGACCACCUUUGCAAGAUAUCGGCUGAAGUUUCUCAGUUUUCGCAGGUGACGAAGCAGACGUUGAGUGAAGUCGAACGAAGCAGUGAAGAUUACGUGAGUGAAAUUGAAGAUAUGAAGACAUGCAAAGACGCUUUGUGCGCGGAGUUGGAGGAGAUCCAGAGAGCCGCCGAAAUGUUGGGGGCUUGCGAAAGCAUAAAUCAACAGGAAAUAAGGGAGCGAGAAGAAUGGACCGAAACAUUGCAAGUGAUCCAUAAGGAAAUUCAAAGCAUAUCAAACAUACUGGGAGAAGGUAUCUGUGAGUUGUUCCCUGAAGUAGGCGUACCCAAAAGUGUAGCCGUCGAUGGUUUGUUUGAGGUUCGAAGCUACUACGCCCUACUCUCACUGGUCGCGUAUACAUACUCGCAAUUUACUGCUACUUGAGGCGACGACCCGCGUUUUUGUUAAUGCAAAGUAUGUUCCUGUGAAAAUUGUGUGGUGUCUGUGUGAGUGGGGAUCCUUAGAGCCGGAUUAAAGGCGACAGUCUUAUUUCAGCUCGAACCUCUAUUUGUUUUGAUUAUGGGUACUCUUUAUAUUUAACACUACGCAACGACUUAAUACCCGACGAAGGGUUCACGGUAUCUGUUGACUUUUGGAGGAGGUAAUGCCCCCAACCCCUAAAAGCGUGAAGUUGUUGUUUAUGAACAGAAAGAAAGGUGCCACGCCGUACGAGAUUCAUCUCAAAGAAGAUGCGAGUACCUUUCGUUAGACAGAUUUGUGUCAGAUCCUUUAACUCUAAGUGAUCUUAAGCGCAAUGCAAUCAUUCAGGGCGACGUGCUUAAAUGUGCUUCCCAUUUUUGUAUUAACACUACGACGUUACUGUGCCCAUUGCUUCUAUUGCGCUCAUGAAUAUCUGUCACGAAACUACUAAGACUGAUGCAACUGAAUGUUGUGACAGCUGAAGCUUCUCUGUAAUAACAAACAGCCUAGAACUAAGUACCUGGUUCCUUUGUUUUGAAAUAUGCAGUUCAACUGCCGAUUAUUUUAUGAAAGAGCAUACUGUUGUUACUCGUCGAGGGCAUGCGACAUGGUCGCCUGCAAUAAAGCUUGUUCCCAAGUUUGUCCGUAGACUGAUGGCUUUAAUUAUUGAUGUCGCAAGAAAUAAAGUAUUCUCAAACUUGUCUGUUUA
rnacentral:misc_RNA from 1 species